AACUCUGGAGAGUUCCGGUCUUUGCAUCGGACGCCGAAGGUGUACGCGGCGGGGAAGUGCUUUAGCGAAAGCAUCGAGUGAUUUCCUCGGACGUAAUCUCUCAGGCAAAAGGACAGGGCAG
rnacentral:ncRNA from 1 species